ensembl:piRNA 21ur-2579 ncRNA
UUAGUUUGCGGAGGUAAUUUC